rnacentral:rRNA from 1 species
CAGUCGCCGCGGUAAUACGAAGGGGGCUAGCGUUGCUCGGAAUGACUGGGCGUAAAGGGCGCGUAGGCGGCUAUGACAGUCAGGCGUGAAAGUCCUGGGCUCAACCUGGGGUGGUCGCUUGAUACGUUGUGGCUAGAGUGGGGAAGAGGGUCGUGGAAUCCCAGUGUAGAGGUGAAAUUCGUAGAUAUUGGGAAGAACACCGGUGGCGAAAGCGGCGACCUGGUCCUUUACUGACGCUGAGGCGCGAAAGCGUGGGGAGCAAACAGGAUUAGAUACCCCCGUAGUCCCUGUCUCUUAUACA